rnacentral:tRNA from 3 species
CGGGGCAUAGCUCAGCCUGGUAGAGCACCUGCUUUGGGAGCAGGGGGCCGGGGGUUCGAAUCCCUCUGCCCCGACCA